CUAUCACCUCCUUCGCUGAUACAUUGUGCUUUCAAUACCUUCUGCAGACUGAACAUGGCUAUCACUUCUGUUCCUCUGUCAAGAAUCUCUAAGGCCUCCAUUGUUGAUUUUGAUGGCGCAAGCUAUUGAAAAAAGUAUUACAAGGGCAUGGGAAUAAUGCUUUAGGAAGUGGCAAUACGAAUAUCAACGUUCCUAAAAGUUAGUCUUGGAAAUGUACAAAGCAGUGUAAGCCUGUCUCCUUCAAACACUGAGAGAUACUAUCAUGUGUAGCUGUAGUUGCACUUAGCUCUACAUGUUACCUCCUCCACUGAUGAGCAAGAAGUGAAACAAAAGGUGGACAACCUCUGCAAGAUAUCUUAUAUCUCAGCUUUUUCAAGUUUUUAUAUAGCUUUCACAAUCAGCCCAGCAUAGAGUUUUAAUUGUGAUGCAGGCUGGUGGAAUUCAUACGCACCACGAGUUUUAAUUGAGAUGCAGGCUGGUGGUUUUAACAGUGAAGAAAGAGUAGAUGGUGGUGCAACUUCAACUGUAAUGCAGAAAAUUCAAAUUCUCCGGUCUUUAUACCUACCUCGCUUGCUGCCAGUGGUGAGGCGCAACAAGUUGAUGCACGUGGGAUGAAAGAAAAACAAGUGAAGGUGGAUGAAUUUGCAAUUAGAUGCAGCUGUAGUUGCAGCUAGUUCUACAUGUGUAGAUAAUUUUGUUGCUACUCUUGCUCCGUCUUCUGUGAAACAACAAAGAAGAAGCUCACACUUUCAUCCUCCCAAAUCGACAAUGCCUUGAUUGUUGUAUAACAGCCCGGCUCAACUGCAGCACUAGUUUUAGUGAUGCUAAGCUUCGAUAGCACUCUGUCACAAACUUUGGCUGCAAAAGCUAACUCAUGAUGUGAAAAGUUGUGAACGCUGCCCAGAAAUCUCUCUCCAAUGUAGGCUACUUGGGCGUUCAACUUGGGUUGAAGCCAUGUUUUCCUUCUUUUUCGCUAUGGCAUCUUUUUUCAUAUUUCCUGUUCCUUUCUCCUUUCUUCUUCUUCCUGUUCAAUGAUAAUCCAAGAUUUUAAGUCAGAGAAUGUAAAAUACCACCACAACACUACGCCUUUGAUGUGUGCUAAUGAGUUCAAGUGACAAUAUAUCCUGCAAGUGACAUGCUUGUAUAUAGGCGAGUACAGUGAUGAAAAUGUUAUGAAUGCAAUACAAUGCCAUUCUCCUAAUC
rnacentral:lncRNA from 1 species